rnacentral:rRNA from 1 species
AACGAACGCUGGCGGCAUGCCUAACACAUGCAAGUCGAACGAAGCCUUCGGGCUUAGUGGCGCACGGGUGCGUAACGCGUGGGAAUCUGCCCUUUGGUUCGGAAUGACAGUUGGAAACGACUGCUAAUACCGGAUGAUGACGAAAGUCCAAAGAUUUAUCGCCAGAGGUUGAGCCCGCGUAGGAUUAGCGAGUUGGUGUGGUAAAGGCGCACCAAGGCGACGAUCCUUAGCUGGUCUGAGAGGAUGAGCAGCCACACUGGGACUGAGACACGGCCCAGACUCCUACGGGAGGCAGCAGUGGGGAAUAUUGGACAAUGGGCGAAAGCCUGAUCCAGCAAUGCCGCGUGAGUGAUGAAGGCCCUAGGGUUGUAAAGCUCUUUUACCCGGGAUGAUAAUGACAGUACCGGGAGAAUAAGCCCCGGCUAACUCCGUGCCAGCAGCAGCCGCCG